GUGUUCGGGUUGUCAUGCCAAUGGCACUGCCCGGUAGCUAAAUGCGGAAGAGAUAAGUGCUGAAAGCAUCUAAGCACGAAACUUGCCCCGAGAUGAGUUCUCCCUGAGACUUAGAGUCUCCUGAAGGAACGUUGAAGACGACGACGUUGAUAGGCCGGGUGUGUAAGCGCAGCGAUGCGUUGAGCUAACCGGUACUAAUGAACCGUGAGGCUUAACCUUACAACGCCGAAG
rnacentral:rRNA from 4 species